GUCCAUGGCCAUACCACCCUGAAUAUGCCCAAUUUCAUUUGAUCUUGGAAGCUAAGGAGAAUUGGACUUGGUUAGUACUUGAAUAGGAGAAAAAUAAGCAAAAGCUCUUAGGUACUGGGCU
ensembl:rRNA 5S_rRNA 5S ribosomal RNA